GACAGGGUGGUGGUUCCUGAGGGUUUGUGCUAUGGGGAUGGAGCUGCUCCGCGAAGGGGUUGUGGGCUGUGCCCAGCGGGAGGAAGGCGCUGCUGCUGGGAGUUCAGGAUGAGGCAGGUGGGGUUCAGCUGCUUUUCAGCAAUGCGAUUGACAGACAGGUAAGUUGUUUGCCCCAGGUGUGGGACCACCAGGAAUAUUAAGGCGGGGAUUUUAGGGAGAGGACACACGACAUGGGAUGGACACGAUGCUGGUUCUCCAAGUGAGGUGUCUGGCGGGGUAGUGCAGUAACACCUAUUCCUCCUCUGGUGUCCUUUGCCGGGAUGUUGCCUGGCUGCUUGUUGCCCAGAGUGAAUUUUAUAGAGGUUAUUUGGUUUUCCACUCUCUUAGAUGCAUCCCUAGAUGAAUAAAUGCUACACUGCUGGGAAGUAGCUAAUUACCUUUCCCUGACGGUGGCAGAGGGGUAGUUUCAUAUGGCCUAAAUGAAGUUUACAACACCUUCAUGUGAUUCUGCCUUUUUUCACAUCACCAUAGGUACCUGAGAACCAAGGACACCAUUGCAACUUUGGGCCCAAAAUGUGUAAACAACAGUGAAUUGAGGAGAGCAAUCUGGGAGGAUGGGACUUCAUCACCUGAAGCUGUAAUUGGACAAUUAACCCCAAUAUGGAAAUGGACCAUGAAAACUCAUGACUGGUUGUCCAUCUUGGGUCUGUCUUCGGUAGAGCCACGGCUGGGCUCUUGUACUGCCCAAGGUGUAUCCUUUGAAGGCCUUUAAUAAAUACCUGCUUUAUUCCUUUAACUCUGUCUAGCCUCAGUUCC